UACGUAGGGUGCGAGCGUUGUCCGGAUUUAUUGGGCGUAAAGGGCUCGUAGGCGGCGUGUCGCGUCGGGAGUGAAAGCCCGUUGCUUAACGGCGGGUUGGCUUUCGGUACGGGCAUGCUGGAGUGCGGCAGGGGGGGCUGGAAUUCCUGGUGUAGCGGUGGAAUGCGCAGAUAUCAGGAGGAACACCGGUGGCGAAGGCGGGUCUCUGGGCCGUUACUGACGCUGAGGAGCGAAAGCGUGGGGAGCGAACAGG
rnacentral:rRNA from 1 species